rnacentral:rRNA from 1 species
CCUACGGGAGGCAGCAGUGAGGAAUAUUGGUCAAUGGGCGCAAGCCUGAACCAGCCAUGCCGCGUGAAGGAAUAAGGUCCUAUGGAUCGUAAACUUCUUUUGAGCGGGAGCAAUAAGGUCUACGUGUAGACCGAUGAGAGUACCGUUCGAAUAAGCAUCGGCUAACUCCGUGCCAGCAGCCGCGGUAAUACGGAGGAUGCAAGCGUUAUCCGGAUUUAUUGGGUUUAAAGGGUGCGUAGGCCGUUGUGCAAGUCAGAGGUGAAAUUGUGGGGCUCAACUCCGCCGCUGCCUUUGAAACUGCAUGACUUGAAUCCUGUUGCCGUGGGAGGAAUGAGUAGUGUAGCGGUGAAAUGCAUAGAUAUUACUCAGAACCCCAAUUGCGAAGGCAUCUCACGAAGCAGGUAUUGACGCUGAGGCACGAAAGCGUGGGUAUCAAACAGGAUUAGAUACCCGUGUAGUC